CCUCGCGAGAGCAAGCGGACCUCAUAAAGUGCGUCGUAGUCCGGAUUGGAGUCUGCAACUCGACUCCAUGAAGUCGGAAUCGCUAGUAAUCGUGGAUCAGAAUGCCACGGUGAAUACGUUCCCGGGCCUUGUACACACCGCCCGUCACACCAUGGGAGUGGGUUGCAAAAGAAGUAGGUAGCUUAACCUUCGGGAGGGCGCUUACCACUUUGUGAUUCAUGACUGGGGUGAAGUCGUAACAAGGUAACCGUAGGGGAACCUGCGGUUGGAUCACCUCCUUA
rnacentral:rRNA from 1 species